AGAAGAGUGGUGUUAUAUCAAAAAUUUUGCAAAUCUGUUGAAUCUCUGGUUUAACAGGAGACAGAUGAAUCCAUAGCUGCUUCUCCAGUGAAUCACAAUUGGUUCAUUGUGACAGUCCAUGUCAUGUAGCUUCUGGGAAACUCCCCACUCCACCCCAGAGAGAAUGAGAGUGAAGAGGACAAGUAAUAUCUUAAUCAUCUUAGUAUCUGGAAGACAACAGUUUUGGCCUUGAAGACCCCCACCCACCACUGGGUCUAGGGACCUCCCAGGAGUCCUCAUGCCACAUUUUGAGAAUCACAGCUCUGCACAAUCUUCAGGUAGAAACAUUCAAGAUCCAGAAAGUCUCAAGGCUUUAAAUGCCUGAGUUCAAGCCCCAUCCCAUCACUUCCCAGCUGUGUGACCUUGGGCAAGUCAUCUAACUUUCUGACCAUGUCAGUCUCUUCAUCUCUAAAACAGGAUCAAUGACACCUACAUCUAGGCCGUGGUGAAAUGAGAAGUAACGGAGUCCCAGCAGUAAUGCGGCACUUGGCUGUCCCCUGGCUUCGACCCAGGCUUGGCAUUUCCUUUCUCGUGGCAUUGUCAAAGGGAACAUUCUG